rnacentral:rRNA from 1 species
GAUGGACGCUGGCGGCGUGCUUAACACAUGCAAGUCGAGCGAGAAGUUUUGAAAAGAUUCUUCGGAUGAAAUUUAAAAUGGAAAGCGGCGGACGGGUGAGUAACGCGUAGGCAACCUGCCCCAUACAAAGGGAUAGCAUUUGGAAACGAAUAUUAAUACCUUAUGAAACUUAACUAGUGCAUGCUAGGUAGGUCAAAGAUUUAUCGGUAUGGGAUGGGCCUGCGUCUGAUUAGCUAGCUGGUGAGGUAACGGCUCACCAAGGCGACGAUCAGUAGCCGACCUGAGAGGGUGAACGGCCACAUUGGAACUGAGACACGGUCCAAACUCCUACGGGAGGCAGCAGUGGGGAAUAUUGCACAAUGGGGGAAACCCUGAUGCAGCAACGCCGCGUGAACGAGGAAGGCCUUUGGGUCGUAAAGUUCUGUUCUAGGUGAUGAAAACUGACAGUAACCUAGGAGAAAGCCCCGGCUAACUCCGUG